AUGGUGGCUGAGUUCGAUUUUGGCCCACAUGUCAGGCAGAGACUGCCCAGCAAACCCAAACUGAAUUUCAAGUUGAUUCUCAGAAGGCUACAGGGACACAGUACUGGUUAAGCUGAGGUUUCAAGUACCCACCUGUAAGGACCAGGUGUGUACCUACAGAAGAGUGCCCCUGUCCUAUUCUUAGGAAGAACUAUUCGCCAAGGGCAAGGAGUCCAGAAGAGUUGGAGCUGCAAGGCUGGGCAGCCCCUUCAAGGGCUGGGCCUGGCAGGGGAACCCGACUGAAUAGCCGCGAGGAUCCCUCUGCCAGUGUAAUGAUUCACCUUUUCCGCUGUCUGCCAUAGUUUUUCUGCACGAGAUAGUGUCCCCCACACACACCGUUAAUAUCUGCUUGAUGCAACAAUGCCAGUGGGAUGCAACGAUUCAAAACUUCCAAUUCCUCCUCCCUAGACCCUGAAGCCACGGGGCGUCUUCAGAGUGACGUGCCUGGCACACAGUAGGUACUUGACAGAUGUCAACUCCCUUCUUCCCGUUCCUCAUUCCCCCCGCGGACUCCAACCCUCAAACGCUCUCUGGGCAUUCUCUCCACCUCUCAGGAGCGCCACUUUCCCUAAAACGGCCUGGCCUUGCGGGUCUCCCCAGCUCCACGCCCAUUCGCUUCAGCAGCCGCCUGCUCAAGGCCUGCUAAGUGCAGGGUCCCGCGGGCCUCCCAGGCCCUGAGCGCAGGGUCGCUUCCCGAAGACCCGCAGAGGUGGCCGCACCUUCUUAAGGCAGGAAGGCGGGGGAGAGCUGCGUGCGCUCUGCUCGCCCCUGCCUUGCACGCUGAGCUCUAGCGCAGGAGCCCGACUUUGUCUGGCUUUGUCCCCUCCGCGGCCCCGAGGCUGUCCUGAGAGCGCGGCGCCCCACACACCUGCUGCCCGCAAGGAGUCGGCGGGAGAGGAGGAGCGAGGGAGGCGAGAGGACCCCUCCCCCGGCUUGCCGGC
rnacentral:lncRNA from 10 species